GACGAACGCUGGCGGCGUGCCUAAUACAUGCAAGUAGAACGCUGAAGGUGGAGCUUGCUUCUCUGGAUGAGUUGCGAACGGGUGAGUAACGCGUAGGUAACCUGCCUGGUAGCGGGGGAUAACUAUUGGAAACGAUAGCUAAUACCGCAUAAGAGUAGAUGUUGCAUGACAUUUGCUUAAAAGGUGCAAUUGCAUCACUACCAGAUGGACCUGCGUUGUAUUAGCUAGUUGGUGAGGUAACGGCUCACCAAGGCGACGAUACAUAGCCGACCUGAGAGGGUGAUCGGCCACACUGGGACUGAGACACGGCCCAGACUCCUACGGGAGGCAGCAGUAGGGAAUCUUCGGCAAUGGACGGAAGUCUGACCGAGCAACGCCGCGUGAGUGAAGAAGGUUUUCGGAUCGUAAAGCUCUGUUGUAAGAGAAGAACGAGUGUGAGAGUGGAAAGUUCACACUGUGACGGUAUCUUACCAGAAAGGGACGGCUAACUACGUG
rnacentral:rRNA from 1 species